rnacentral:rRNA from 1 species
UACGUAGGGACCGAGCGUUGUCCGGAUUCAUUGGGCGUAAAGAGCUCGUAGGCGGCCACUCAAGUCGAAUGUGAAACCUCGAGGCUUAACCUCGAGCCUGCAUUCGAUACUGGGCGGCUAGAGUCUGGUAGGGGGAUCUGGAAUUCCUGGUGUAGCGGUGGAAUGCGCAGAUAUCAGGAGGAAUACCGAUGGCGAAGGCAGGUCUCUGGGCUGACACUGACGCUCAUGCACGAAAGCGUGGGGAGCAAACAGG